AUACAGAUUACAGACAUUUGAGGACGGAUUCCAAGUGAAAGAGUGAACGGGAGAUUACCUCUUUGCAAUCCGCCGAGUAUUCAUGAUCGUGGUUUCUUUUAAACCGUCUCGAUCUUUGUUCUCUAUGGCAACAGUUGGUCGCGGUUGGUCAGCAGAGUUCUUCCUGUAUGGUCAAUCAAUUGGUUAGGUUCAAAAGCCAUAUAGAACGCUGCGGAAGAACUGGUGACCUUCGAAUGAUUGAGAGAUGACUCCAUCGUUCCGUCUACAGCAUCAGGCUCGAUGCUAAUGUUGAAUAUGAUCUUCUAGUGAGCUUGUGGGACUUGAAGUAAACCCCUGACAAAUGUGCAAUUAAUGCCCAGUCACGUCACAAAUACUUAUACCAGUUUGCAAGGCCAAUCAAGAGGAUUUGUGCGAGCGUUUGAAGUCCUUGAAAGGGAUUUCGGGGAUCUCAAAAUUAUGAUGAUGACGAUGGCGAAUAUCUACCUCUCUCCUUAUCAUUGAAGCGCCGAUCAUUAUUUCCAAGAAAAGUUUUCAACAUAGCCUCUCCACAACAAUGACAUGCUUCAAAACCAAUUCAAUUGGUUUUCUUUGGUCGAUUUUAAAAUGCGUUUUUUCAAACAAAACACUAAGCUCCCUGGGCAAGAGGAAGUAGGAAGAAACCAGCGGUGUAACAUUGCUUUUAAUUUAUCUUGUCGUAUUUUGGUCCUCGGGCGUCUUCAACCGACCAACCUUGCUACUUUGACCAGAAACCAGUUUCGAAUGCAUCACUUCCUGCAUUUCUCUCUUGGUUUCGCUGAUCUUUUUUUUGACGAGCAAAUAAAAAAAAACCCUCAAAGUAAGUAUAUACAUACAGCUUCCUUGGGUAUUGGUAUAGUAGAAGUUGAUAAAAGGCUGUCGUUAUAUAAGAUUCAAUGAAGUGCUGCACUUGAAAGUCCAAGCAGUUUUGUGAAGGUAUGUUCAAUUCCACUUGCGCUUUGAGACCGCCUUAGCUCAAUCUGCCCUCAGGCAACGCAAGUAUGAAGGAAGCAAAUUUCACCACAACUCGUUACAAAUACAACAGAACUGGUAUUCUUGACGAAGCAAGAGUCCUCGUGCGGGUUUGAAUAUGGAUUAGAUAUCAUCAAUCAUAUUUGCUUGUAAAGAUUGAAAUAUUGACCAAGAAGAUCUCGAGUAGAGGCCAAAUAACCAAAACUUUCCAAGGAAGAAAGAAUGUAUCGUAAUGGUCUGUAUUGGGGCCUGCGUUCACCCACUUCUCAUAUCUGAUUUCAACAACCUGGCAUUGCUACUUCAGAGCAAAUAGGUUUACCCAAGAUUCGUGCAACCACUGUUGCCAUCGCUUUGGUGACGGAGUCUCCCCCCCUAAUCUUCAUAUCAAAGAAAUCUUGUAACCAUUGCCGUCCGUGAAAAGUAUGGCAUUGCCUAUCUCUCACCACGCAGGGCAUUGGGGGUUGGCAAGAAAACGACCGAUAGACGAGGAUCGUAGCUCAAUAAUGGGGCUCGAAUGAUGCCCUCACUCUCUCUAAUCCACCUACUCU